rnacentral:rRNA from 1 species
AUACGUAGGGUGCGAGCGUUGUCCGGAAUUACUGGGCGUAAGGAGCUCGUAGGUGGUUUGUCGCGUCGUCUGUGAAAUUCCGGGGCUUAACUCCGGGCGUGCAGGCGAUACGGGCAUAACUUGAGUACUGUAGGGGAGACUGGAAUUCCUGGUGUAGCGGUGAAAUGCGCAGAUAUCAGGAGGAACACCGGUGGCGAAGGCGGGUCUCUGGGCAGUAACUGACGCUGAGGAGCGAAAGCAUGGGUAGCGAACAGGAUUAGAUACCCUGGUAGUCCAUGCCGUAAACGGUGGGCGCUAGGUGUAGGGGUCUUCCACGACUUCUGUGCCGUAGCUAACGCAUUAAGCGCCCCGCCUGGGGAGUACGGCCGCAAGGCUAAAACUCAAAUGAAUCGGCGGGG